rnacentral:lncRNA from 1 species
UGCUCUCACAAACCAUGUUCUCUCUCUCCUCCCUUUCCCCCCUCAACUCUCGAUCUCUCUCUCUUCUUUCUUCUCUUCUUCUCUCUUCUCACUCUCCUUCUUCCCUCACCUCAUGGUACCCUCACCCCUUUCACCUCCCUAUGGCCUAAAUCUCCAUAAAUCAUCAUCAAGCAUGAUCUCUACAAGAUCAUGCAUUUAUGCUGACAAGAUCACACCAUCC